CCUCGUCCGAUGGCCGAGGCCGGCCGGGGAGGGGGACAGGACGGAGGUACGGUAUUAAAACUCGCAACCCUGCAGUGUGCCUGCCGCCGCCUAGAGCCAAAUCUCCUGUGUCUUUUGACUUGCGAGCUGCCUUUGACGAGCCUUGCCGGUUGCCUCUAUAUAUGCACGCACACGCUCGCAGAUGCAAGGAGGGGUAGGUGUGGGAGUGUGGUGAGAACGAACGCAGGUGAGGUGAGAUAGAGAAGAAGAAUCAGCAGCAGCUAGCGGCAGAAGCAUGGUGUCACUUGGGAUUGCGAGGCUGGUCGCCUUCGUGCUCCUGGUAGUCUUAGUCUUCGGUUCAUCGCUGCAUCAACAAGAGGGAGCUGGUGAGUCGUAUACGUACAUUUGCUGCAAAGCUGCUGCUGCUGCUACAUCGUGCUACUAGGCUGCACGAGAGAAGGCAGCAGCACGCGCAGCAGUGGGCGGAGGAGAGGAACCAGCUGAGGUCCUACAUGACCAUGGACUACGCCCCGUGGCGCCGCCGCGUGCCCAAGCACAACUGACCCAGCUACUAGCACAGGGCGCCCAGGCAGAUCUCGGAAAGCCAGAUGCAUGCUUCGCGCUGGAAGUCAGUCAGUCCAUUGUUCAGGCUCCUCCAGCACGGAGGAAAGCGCCAAGGACAUCAGCACCGGCAGCAGAGCAUCCAUCGAUGCACGCGUGCAUGACGACGUUGAGAGGCCGAGCUUUCUGACGCUCUCAGUCUCAGCUGACUGCCCGUUCUUGUGGCUCCAGCCUCCAGCACAAGCAGCAUCUCCCGGAGCAAGCAUGAUGGCAGACAGGGAGAGAAGUUGAUAUAGUAGGUGCGGUUCCUUUUUCUUUCUUUCGUUGUAGUCGUAUGUGUAUCUACGUGCUGCCCACAGCGUGCAGAUGUACGCACGCAGAUUUUUCCCCCUGAUCACCUAGUGGUGUCGCUAAGAUAAAUAUAUAUAUAUACGCAGUUUAUUUAUAGUACUA